rnacentral:rRNA from 1 species
AACGAACGCUGGCGGCAUGCCUAACACAUGCAAGUCGAACGAGACCUUCGGGUCUAUUGGCGCACGGGUGCGUAACGCGUGGGAACCUUCCCUUAGGUUCGGAAUAACUCCCCGAAAGGGGUGCUAAUACCGGAUAAUGUCUUCGGACCAAAGAUUUAUCGCCUUUGGAUGGGCCCGCGUUGGAUUAGCUAGUUGGUAGGGUAAAAGCCUACCAAGGCGACGAUCCAUAGCUGGUCUGAGAGGAUGAUCAGCCACACUGGGACUGAGACACGGCCCAGACUCCUACGGGAGGCAGCAGUGGGGAAUAUUGGACAAUGGGCGAAAGCCUGAUCCAGCAAUGCCGCGUGAGUGAUGAAGGCCUUAGGGUUGUAAAGCUCUUUUACCCGGGAUGAUAAUGACAGUACCGGGAGAAUAAGCUCCGGCUAACUCCGUG